rnacentral:rRNA from 1 species
UCCAGACUCCUACGGGAGGCAGCAGUGGGGGAUAUUGCACAAUGGGGGGAACCCUGAUGCAGCGACGCCGCGUGGGUGAAGGAGCGUUUCGGCGCGUAAAGCCCUAUCGGCAGGGAAGAAGGAGGACGGUACCUGACUAAGAAGCCCCGGCUAACUACGUGCCAGCAGCCGCGGUAAUACGUAGGGGGCAAGCGUCAUCCGGAUUUACUGGGUGUAAAGGGGGCGCAGACGGCAGCGCAAGCCAGGAGUGAAAGCCCGGGGCCCAACCCCGGGACUGCUCUUGGAACUGCGCGGCUGGAGUGCAGGAGGGGCAGGCGGAAUUCCUGGUGUAGCGGUGAAAUGCGUAGAUAUCAGGAGGAACACCGGUGGCGAAGGCGGCCUGCUGGACUGCAACUGACGUUGAGGCCCGAAAGCGUGGGGAGCAAACAGGAUUAGAUACCCCGGUA